UGGGGAAUAUUGCACAAUGGGGGAAACCCUGAUGCAGCGACGCCGCGUGAGUGAAGAAGUAUUUCGGUAUGUAAAGCUCUAUCAGCAGGGAAGAAAAAAGACGGUACCUGACUAAGAAGCCCCGGCUAACUACGUGCCAGCAGCCGCGGUAAUACGUAGGGGGCAAGCGUUAUCCGGAUUUACUGGGUGUAAAGGGAGCGUAGACGGCGCGGCAAGUCUGAAGUGAAAGGCAGGGGCUUAACCCCUGAACUGCUUUGGAAACUGCCAUGCUAGAGUGCUGGAGAGGUAAGUGGAAUUCCUAGUGUAGCGGUGAAAUGCGUAGAUAUUAGGAGGAACACCAGUGGCGAAGGCGGCUUACUGGACGGUAACUGACGUUGAGGCUCGAAAGCGUGGGGAGCAAACAGG
rnacentral:rRNA from 1 species